CCGGCGAUAGAUUUUUAGGUGGGUUCCGUCUGUUUUUCCCAUUUUUUUCCUUGUUUUAACGAUUUUUUAUGGAUCUCAUCAUUAAUAUCAGAAUAUUUUCUCAAUGGCAUAAAAUUGAAAUUGUAGUGUCAAACUAUGAGCAAAAUUCUAGGAGGUAUUUUGCUUUAAUAAUAUAUAUAUAUUGUUGGCUAUCCAAUAUAUAUGUUUCUUAAAUAAAUAUGUUUCUUAAAACAUCAUUAGAGUUUGUUUUCAGGAUUUUAAGAAAUGAUAAAAUCCCAAAGACAAAUUUUUCAAUUUGUUUUUCUUUAACAGUUAAUUUUUUGACUAAUAAAUCAUUUUUUAGCAUGCAUGCCUAGUUCAAAUACUUGAAACUUUUGAUAGGGUUGACAACCAUGAUGCCAAAGCUCAUUCCAGGAUACCUAAAAGUCAAUGCGAAGUCUAGCAAAUAUACACCUGAGGAAGUUAGAUGUUCCAAAACAAAGUCCAAUCAACAUCUUAUGUUGCCUCUGUCAUUCCCCACUUAUGUUGCCUCUGUCAUUCCCCAAAAAACGCAAUGUC
rnacentral:lncRNA from 1 species